GACGAACGCUGGCGGCGUGCUUAACACAUGCAAGUCGAACGUGAUUUUUGUGGAAAUUCUUUCGGGAAUGGAAAUGAAAUGAAAGUGGCGAACGGGUGAGUAACACGUGAGCAACCUACCUUACACAGGGGGAUAGCCGUUGGAAACGACGAUUAAUACCGCAUGAGACCACAGAAUCGCAUGAUAUAGGGGUCAAAGAUUUAUCGGUGUAAGAAGGGCUCGCGUCUGAUUAGCUAGUUGGAAGGGUAAAGGCCUACCAAGGCGACGAUCAGUAGCCGGUCUGAGAGGAUGAACGGCCACAUUGGAACUGAGACACGGUCCAAACUCCUACGGGAGGCAGCAGUGGGGAAUAUUGCACAAUGGGGGGAACCCUGAUGCAGCGACGCCGCGUGAGCGAAGAAGGUUUUCGAAUCGUAAAGCUCUGUCCUAUGAGAAGAUAAUGACGGUAUCAUAGGAAGAAGCCCCGGCUAAAUACGUG
rnacentral:rRNA from 1 species